rnacentral:rRNA from 1 species
CCUACGGGAGGCUGCAGUGAGGAAUAUUGGUCAAUGGACGAGAGUCUGAACCAGCCAAGUAGCGUGAAGGAUGACUGCCCUAUGGGUUGUAAACUUCUUUUAUAAAGGAAUAAAACGAGGCACGUGUGCCUUUUUGCAUGUACUUUAUGAAUAAGGAUCGGCUAACUCCGUGCCAGCCGCCGCGGUAAUACGGAGGAUCCGAGCGUUAUCCGGAUUUAUUGGGUUUAAAGGGAGCGUAGAUGGGUUGUUAAGUCAGUUGUGAAAGUUUGCGGCUCAACCGUAAAAUUGCAAUUGAUAAUGGCAGUCUUGAGUACAGUUGAGGUAGGCGGAAUUCGUGGUGUAGCGGUGAAAUGCUUAGAUAUCACGAAGAACCCCGAUUGCGAAGGCAGCUUACUAAAUUGUGACUGACAUUGAUGCUCGAAAGUGUGGGUAUCAAACAGGAUUAGAUACCCGAGUAGUC